UGACACGCCCGCAAUCUCCGUCGCUCCCAUGCCUCAGCAGUGACGGGCAUGGCCAAAACAGCGUCGCGCACUGUGUAGGAUAACAGUGGGUACUUUUCUCCCCUUUAAUAUUUCCUUCCCCCUCUCCUUGCAUCCUGUUCGCCUUAGCCUCCAAACUGACUACUCGAAUCCUUCUUCGUCGCUGCUCCUCACUUUCGUUUUGCCACCCACUGUCAUCAUGGGAGCGUUUGGUGUGGUCUUGGUGCCCGCCAUGCCCUAGCCUUUGUCGGCUGCUCCGUAAGCCUAGUUGUCUGGGUGCUUCCUGCCUAGGUGACUUUUGUCGCAACUUGGAGGAGACCACUCACCAGUUUGCCUUUCCGAUUGGAAUUUCCUGUCCUUGUCCAUGUUCUCGCAGAGGAGAUGGGCUGGUUUAUGAGAACAUUUGAGGAUGGGAACACAGCUAGCAGCAUAGGAUCCAUGACAUAACAGCCCUGUUAAUUAUUGUGCAGCAGCGGAGAAGAUCGAGAAGACUGUCGCACGCGUUUGCUAUAGGGAGUAGACUGUCGAGAAGACUGUCGCACGCGUUUUCGAAUAAGUUUUCCCAGCCGCCAUUCUGCGAUCUGCAUGGCUGUUCGCCUGUUCUGAUUCUGCCUUCUGCGAUCUGCGCUUCUGCGAUCGGCCCUUAGGUUACGGCACACAACGACGCUGGCGUCUGUCGUCGUCUGCUUGAUCGACAACUGGGUAGCGUCGCAGCGAACGAGCGAUCUUGUCGCCUGAUCCAUUGAUCCAACUAUGUUGGAAGAACGACGUCGUCGUGAAAACAGCGAGGCAGAGAAGCUUCGAGCGCGGCAAAGCAGCGGCGUCGUGCGCAGAGCUACGGCGGGCGUGGACAGAACAGCGGAAGGGCGGGGAGAAAAGACAAGGUUUGAUGUGUUGUGUUUUUGACAAUAAGGUUCCAUGUGCGUUUGAAUUUUAUUUCAUAUAUGCAUGUGUUUGAUGUGGUUUUCAAUUUUGUUCGAUUUAAUCAUAGUUAUGGAGUUAAUGCAAGUUUUAAUUUAUUGUCAAAAUAGAUGGAUAGAAGAUGGGUUUAUGGGAAACAAUUCACACCUGCAUAUGUGA